CCAAAAUGAAACAGGAGGAGAAACUAAGAAGUGAGGUGGGGGGCAGGGGAGGAGGGGAGAAAAGGAAGCACCGGGUGUUUCAAAAUGUUACCACACGCUUACAAAAGGAGCAUGUCAGGCAGUAAGAAAUUCUUUUAGUUGGUAUGCAAGAACAGGCCAUGUCACUGAAGAGAUUAUCUUUCUAAACAUCACCAACAAGGAAAGACAGGUGGAAAAUCUUGCCUAAGAAUCUUUUCAGCUCCCAAGAGCUGAAUGAAGAGAGAAAGAAAGAAAGAGAAAGAAAGAAAAAGAAAAUGAAGGAAGGAAAAAAAGAAUUGCCAUCUCUUUUGCAGAGAAUAUCUACUAGAUUGAAAUUCUUUCUGUUGGCAGAAAAUAUAUCCAAGAAGAUUCAGAGAAGGUUCCGGCGUGUAUGGAAUGGAGAGACUCAGCCCUGGAAAUUUUGA
rnacentral:lncRNA from 1 species